ACAAUAUAAUAUUAGGUUGAUGAAAAAGUAAUUGUGGGUCUUGCCAAUGAAAGUAACAGCAAAAACCACAAUUAUUUUUGCAUCAACCUUUAAA
rnacentral:miRNA from 10 species